rnacentral:rRNA from 1 species
AGAGUUUGAUCAUGGCUCAGAACGAACGCUGGCGGCAUGCCUAACACAUGCAAGUCGAACGAGACCUUCGGGGUCUAGUGGCGCACGGGUGCGUAACGCUGGGAAUCUGCCCCUCGGUUCGGAACAACAGUUAGAAAUGACUGCUAAUACCGGAUAAUGACGAAAGUCCAAAGAUUUAUCGCCGAGGGAUGAGCCCGCGUAGGAUUAGCUUGUUGGUGGGGUAAUGGCCCACCAAGGCGACGAUCCUUAGCUGGUCUGAGAGGAUGAUCAGCCACACUGGGACUGAGACACGGCCCAGACUCCUACGGGAGGCAGCAGUGGGGAAUAUUGGACAAUGGGCGAAAGCCUGAUCCAGCAAUGCCGCGUGAGUGAUGAAGGCCUUAGGGUUGUAAAGCUCUUUUACCAGGGAUGAUAAUGACAGUACCUGGAGAAUAAGCUCCGGCUAACUCCGUG